CGCACGGGUGAGUAACACGUAUCCAACCUGCCGUCUACUCUUGGACAGCCUUCUGAAAGGAAGAUUAAUACAAGAUGGUAUCAUGAGUCCACAUGUUCACAUGAUUAAAGGUAUUCCGGUAGACGAUGGGGAUGCGUUCCAUUAGAUAGUAGGCGGGGUAACGGCCCACCUAGUCUUCGAUGGAUAGGGGUUCUGAGAGGAAGGUCCCCCACAUUGGAACUGAGACACGGUCCAA
rnacentral:rRNA from 1 species